rnacentral:rRNA from 1 species
AUUGAACGCUGGCGGCAGGCCUAAUACAUGCAAGUCGAGCGAGCGGCGGACGGGUGAGUAAUGUAUGGGGAUCUGCCAGAUAGAGGGGGAUAACUACUGGAAACGGUGGCUAAUACCGCAUACUUUACGAUGAACCCAUAUGGGAUUAGCUAGUAGGUGGGGGAAAGGCUCACCUAGUCGACGAUCUCUAGAUGGGCUGAGAGGGUGAUCGGCCACACGGGGACUGAGACACGGCCCAGACUCCUACGGGAGGCAGCAGUUGGGAAUAUUUCACAAUGGUCGAAAGCCUGAUGCAGCCAUGCCGCGUGUAUGAGGAAGGCCUUCGGGUUGUAAAAUACUGUCAGCGGGGAGGCGUUACCCGUACAGAAAGCAACGGCUAACUCCGUGCCAGCAGCCGCGGUAAUAC